rnacentral:snRNA from 1 species
GUGCUCACUUCGGCAGCACAUGUACUAAAACUGGAACGAUACAGAGAAGAUUAGCAUGGCCCCUGCGCAAGGAUGACACACAAAUUCGUGAAGCGUUCCAUGUUUUA